CGCCAGCAGUCAAGCCGACGCGGGGGACUCGAGGCUGCGAGUUACCGGGGGCACAAGGUAAUCUUGUCUGAAUCAGAGUUGAGCAGGUUUGUUUAAGCUGAAAACUUGGGUGAAGACAAGAACAGGUCUGCUCUCACUGUCUCUCUACACUCACUCUGAGGGAAGCCAUGUUGUAAGCAGCCAUGUGGAGAGGCCCGUAUGAUGAAGAACUGAAGCCCCUUGCCAAAAGCCAUGUAAUUUCCCAAAUGGAUCUUCCAUGCCCAGAUUCAAAUGAACAUAUUCCCAGUGAACAACCUGACUGCAAUCUCAUCAGGGACCCUGAAACAGAACUACCAGUUAAGCUGCUUUUGGAUUUCUCACUCUCAGAAACUGUGGCUUUAAGCAAUGCUUUGGGGCAAUUUGUUUCACAGCAAUAGGAAACUAAUUUACAAUCCAUUGCAAUUCUUAUUGUUAUUGACACUCAAUUUGUCCCAUAUUUAGUCAGUGGGAG